AAAGAAGUCAGGACUAGAGAGGAACUUUGCACCGGGUGACUGAAGAAGCAAAGCUAGACGAGAACGUGCGCUCGCUUGACCCACCAAGCUGUCCCUCCGAAAUUCUACAUGAGAACAGGCACAGAAAUGUAACAUAAAUGAGAUGGUUCCUCCACUCUCUGCUCCUCAGAUCUUUCACUGGUCAUUGUCCUACGAAUGCUCUGAUACCUGGCAAGAGAGAAAAUCCAACAUUUAUUACAUAUUCAAAAUUGUGUGCGCGUCACCUCUCCAUGCCAAAUGGGGUUAGUAGUGUUUGUCGUGAUGCCAGAUCUUCUCUCCUGGCCAUGAUGGGAAAAGGUCGGAUAGCAGCUUCUCUUG